UACGGGGGGGGCAAGCGUUGUUCGGAAUUACUGGGCGUAAAGGGCUCGUAGGCGGCCAACUAAGUCAGACGUGAAAUCCCUCGGCUUAACCGGGGAACUGCGUCUGAUACUGGAUGGCUUGAGAUUGGGAGAGGGAUGCGGAAUUCCAGGUGUAGCGGUGAAAUGCGUAGAUAUCGGGAGGAACACCAGUGGCGAAGGCGACUUCCUGGCCUGUUCGUUGACGCUGAGGCGGCGAAAGCUAGGGUAGCAAACGGGG
rnacentral:rRNA from 1 species